rnacentral:rRNA from 1 species
GAUGAACGCUGACAGAAUGCUUAACACAUGCAAGUCUUUGGCGAAGCUGUGCUUGCGCAGCCUAGCCAAGGCGGACGGGUGAGUAACGCGUAAGGAACUUGCCCUGCAGUCAGGGAUAACAGACGGAAACGACUGAUAAGACCUGGUAAAGUCAGGCGGACUCAUGUCCAGCCUGAUGAAAAGAGAUGCUGCAGGAGAGCCUUGCGUCCUAUUAGCUUGUUGGUGGGGUAACGGCCCACCAAGGCGAUGAUAGGUAGCCGGCCUGAGAGGGUGGACGGCCACAAGGGGACUGAGAUACGGCCCUUACUCCUACGGGAGGCAGCAGUGGGGAAUAUUGGACAAUGGGGGCAACCCUGAUCCAGCAAUUCUGUGUGCACGAUGAAGGUUUUCGGAUUGUAAAGUGCUUUCAGCAGGGAAGAAAAAAAUGACGGUACCUGCAGAAGAAGCGACGGCUAAAUACGUG